CUCCUACGGGAGGCAGCAGUGGGGAAUUUUGGACAAUGGGGGCAACCCUGAUCCAGCCAUUCCGCGUGAGUGAAGAAGGCCUUCGGGUUGUAAAGCUCUUUUGUCCGGAGCGAAACGGUUACGGUGAAUAUCCGUGACUACUGACGGUACCGGAAGAAUAAGCACCGGCUAACUACGUGCCAGCAGCCGCGGUAAUACGUAGGGUGCGAGCGUUAAUCGGAAUUACUGGGCGUAAAGCGUGCGCAGGCGGUUUUGUAAGCCAGAUGUGAAAUCCCCGGGCUUAACCUGGGAAUGGCAUUUGGGACUGCAAGGCUGGAGUAUGGCAGAGGGGACUAGAAUUCCUGGUGUAGCAGUGAAAUGCGUAGAUAUCAGGAGGAAUACCGAUGGCGAAGGCAGGUCCCUGGGCUAAUACUGACGCUCAUGCACGAAAGCGUGGGGAGCAAACAGGAUUAGAUACCCUGGUAGUCCACGCCCUAAACGAUGUCGACUGGUUGUUGGGGGUUUGACACUCUCAGUAACGAAGCUAACGCGUGAAGUCGACCGCCUGGGGAGUACGGCCGCAAGGUUAAAACUCAAAGGAAUUGACGG
rnacentral:rRNA from 1 species